GUGGUAUACAACGGCAGAGUACAUGUUGAGGAAGUACUGAUAAAACCAUUCAAAAGAGAGGGGGAAGGGGAGAGGCAGAGACAGAGAAAUAUUGGGUCAGCACUCAGCAGUCUUGGUGCAAACAAGAGAGGGAUUCCCUUGGAGACCUAGCACUUAAGGUGACAUUCCCUCACACAGACAUACCUUGUUUCCCUCCAACAAGGCUUUGGGAAAGCACUUGGCUGCAAGUUGGGCUACUGUCUUGCAAACUUGGAGAGGUGCAGGAAGGGAAAGCAAGCCCAGUUGCAAUGCUGGGAAAAGGAGAGGAGGAAAGUGGGGAGGAAGAAGGAAGAAGAGGUAGCAGGAGAAACAGGAAGCAGGAGGAGGAAGAGGAGGAGGAGGAGGCAGAAGCAGAAAGAAGCAAAAGGAGCAAGAGGAGGAAGGACCUGGAACUCA